CAGUCGCCGCGGUAAUACGUAGGUGGCAAGCGUUGUCCGGAAUUAUUGGGCGUAAAGCGCGCGCAGGCGGAACAGUCAGUCUGUCUUAAAAGUUCGGAGCUUAACCCCGUGAUGGGAUGGAAACUGCUGAUCUAGAGUAUCGGAGAGGAAAGUGGAAUUCCUAGUGUAGCGGUGAAAUGCGUAGAUAUUAGGAAGAACACCAGUGGCGAAGGCGACUUUCUGGACGAAAACUGACGCUGAGGCGCGAAAGCCAGGGGAGCAAACGGGAUUAGAUACCCGGGUAGUCCCUGUCUCUUAUACC
rnacentral:rRNA from 1 species